GCGCGAAAACUUUACAAUGCUGGCAACAGCGAUAAGGGGACCUCGAGUGCCAGGAUACAAUCUUGGCUGUCGCGAUGCCUAAAAAGCAUUGCAUAGCAAGGGCCGGGCAAGACCGGUGCCAGCCGCCGCGGUAACACCGGCGGCUCGAGUGGUAACCGCUAUUAUUGGGUCUAAAGGGUCUGUAGCCGGCCGGAUAAGUCUCUUGGGAAACCCAGCAGCUCAACUGUUGGGCUUUCAGGAGAUACUGUUCGGCUCGAGACCGGGAGAGGUGAGAGGUACUUCAGGGGUAGGGGUGAAAUCUUGUAAUCCUUGAAGGACCACCAGUGGCGAAGGCGACUCACCAGAACGGAUCUGACGGCAAGGGACGAAAGCUAGGGGCACGAACCGGAUUAGAUACCCGGGUAGUCCUAGCCGUAAACGAUACUCGCUAGGUGUCAGCCACGGUGCGACCGUGGUUGGUGCCGUAGGGAAGCCGUGAAGCGAGCCACCUGGGAAUACGGCCGCAAGG
rnacentral:rRNA from 1 species